GUCGAACGGCAGCGCGGGGCAACCUGGCGGCGAGUGGCGAACGGGUGAGUAAUAUAUCGGAACGUACCCAAGAGUGGGGGAUAACGUAGCGAAAGUUACGCUAAUACCGCAUACGAUCCAAGGAUGAAAGCAGGGGGUGCGCUUGCGCACCUUGUGCUCCUGGAGCGGCCGAUAUCUGAUUAGCUAGUUGGUAGGGUAAAGGCCUACCAAGGCAUCGAUCAGUAGCUGGUCUGAGAGGACGACCAGCCACACUGGAACUGAGACACGGUCCAGACUCCUACGGGAGGCAGCAGUGGGGAAUUUUGGACAAUGGGCGCAAGCCUGAUCCAGCAAUGCCGCGUGAGUGAAGAAGGCCUUCGGGUUGUAAAGCUCUUUUGUCAGGGAAGAAACGGGUGGGGCUAAUAUCCCCAUCUAAUGACGGUACCUGAAGAAUAAGCACCGGCUAACUACGUGCCAGCAGCCGCGGUAAUACGUAGGGUGCAAGCGUUAAUCGGAAUUACUGGGCGUAAAGCGUGCGCAGGCGGUUUUGUAAGUUUGUCGUGAAAUCCCCGGGCUCAACCUGGGAAUGGCGAUGAAGACUGCAAGGCUAGAAUCUGGCAGAGGGGGGUAGAAUUCCACGUGUAGCAGUGAAAUGCGUAGAGAUGUGGAGGAACACCGAUGGCGAAGGCAGCCCCCUGGGUCAAGAUUGACGCUCAUGCACGAAAGCGUGGGGAGCAAACAGGAUUAGAUACCCUGGUAGUCCACGCCCUAAACGAUGUCUACUAGUUGUCGGGUCUUAAUUGACUUGGUAACGCAGCUAACGCGUGAAGUAGACCGCCUGGGGAGUACGGUCGCAAGAUUAAAACUCAAAGGAAUUGACGGGGACCCGCACAAGCGGUGGAUGAUGUGGAUUAAUUCGAUGCAACGCGAAAAACCUUACCUACCCUUGACAUGGCAGAAUCCUCGAGAGAUCGGGGAGUGCUCGAAAGAGAAUCUG
rnacentral:rRNA from 1 species